rnacentral:rRNA from 1 species
CCUUUUGUAUAAUGGGUCAGCGACUUAUAUUCUGUAGCAAGGUUAACCGAAUAGGGGAGCCGAAGGGAAACCGAGUCUUAACUGGGCGUUAAGUUGCAGGGUAUAGACCCGAAACCCGGUGAUCUAGCCAUGGGCAGGUUGAAGGUUGGGUAACACUAACUGGAGGACCGAACCGACUAAUGUUGAAAAAUUAGCGGAUGACUUGUGGCUGGGGGUGAAAGGCCAAUCAAACCGGGAGAUAGCUGGUUCUCCCCGAAAGCUAUUUAGGUAGCGCCUCGUGAAUUCAUCUCCGGGGGUAGAGCACUGUUUCGGCAAGGGGGUCAUCCCGACUUACCAACCCGAUGCAAACUGCGAAUACCGGAGAAUGUUAUCACGGGAGACACACGGCGGGUGCUAACGUCCGUCGUGAAGAGGGAAACAACCCAGACCGCCAGCUAAGGUCCCAAAGUCAUGGUUAAGUGGGAAACGAUGUGGGAAGGCCCAGACAGCCAGGAUGUUGGCUUAGAAGCAGCCAUCAUUUAAAGAAAGCGUAAUAGCUCACUGGUCGAGUCGGCCUGCGCGGAAGAUGUAACGGGGCUAAACCAUGCACCGAAGCUGCGGCAGCGACACUGUGUGUUGUUGGGUAGGGGAGCGUUCUGUAAGCCUGCGAAGGUGUGCUGUGAGGCAUGCUGGAGGUAUCAGAAGUGCGAAUGCUGACAUAAGUAACGAUAAAGCGGGUGAAAAGCCCGCUCGCCGGAAGACCAAGGGUUCCUGUCCAACGUUAAUCGGGGCAGGGUGAGUCGACCCCUAAGGCGAGGCCGAAAGGCGUAGUCGAUGGGAAACAGGUUAAUAUUCCUGUACUUGGUGUUACUGCGAAGGGGGGACGGAGAAGGCUAUGUUGGCCGGGCGACGGUUGUCCCGGUUUAAGCGUGUAGGCUGGUUUUCCAGGCAAAUCCGGAAAAUCAAGGCUGAGGCGUGAUGACGAGGCACUACGGUGCUGAAGCAACAAAUGCCCUGCUUCCAGGAAAAGCCUCUAAGCAUCAGGUAACAUCAAAUCGUACCCCAAACCGACACAGGUGGUCAGGUAGAGAAUACCAAGGCGCUUGAGAGAACUCGGGUGAAGGAACUAGGCAAAAUGGUGCCGUAACUUCGGGAGAAGGCACGCUGAUACGUAGGUGAAGUCCCUCGCGGAUGGAGCUGAAAUCAGUCGAAGAUACCAGCUGGCUGCAACUGUUUAUUAAAAACACAGCACUGUGCAAACACGAAAGUGGACGUAUACGGUGUGACGCCUGCCCGGUGCCGGAAGGUUAAUUGAUGGGGUCAGCGCAAGCGAAGCUCUUGAUCGAAGCCCCGGUAAACGGCGGCCGUAACUAUAACGGUCCUAAGGUAGCGAAAUUCCUUGUCGGGUAAGUUCCGACCUGCACGAAUGGCGUAAUGAUGGCCAGGCUGUCUCCACCCGAGACUCAGUGAAAUUGAACUCGCUGUGAAGAUGCAGUGUACCCGCGGCAAGACGGAAAGACCCCGUGAACCUUUACUAUAGCUUGACACUGAACAUUGAGCCUUGAUGUGUAGGAUAGGUGGGAGGCUUUGAAGUGUGGACGCCAGUCUGCAUGGAGCCGACCUUGAAAUACCACCCUUUAAUGUUUGAUGUUCUAACGUUGACCCGUAAUCCGGGUUGCGGACAGUGUCUGGUGGGUAGUUUGACUGGGGCGGUCUCCUCCUAAAGAGUAACGGAGGAGCACGAAGGUUGGCUAAUCCUGGUCGGACAUCAGGAGGUUAGUGCAAUGGCAUAAGCCAGCUUGACUGCGAGCGUGACGGCGCGAGCAGGUGCGAAAGCAGGUCAUAGUGAUCCGGUGGUUCUGAAUGGAAGGGCCAUCGCUCAACGGAUAAAAGGUACUCCGGGGAUAACAGGCUGAUACCGCCCAAGAGUUCAUAUCGACGGCGGUGUUUGGCACCUCGAUGUCGGCUCAUCACAUCCUGGGGCUGAAGUAGGUCCCAAGGGUAUGGCUGUUCGCCAUUUAAAGUGGUACGCGAGCUGGGUUUAGAACGUCGUGAGACAGUUCGGUCCCUAUCUGCCGUGGGCGCUGGAGAAUUGAGGGGGGCUGCUCCUAGUACGAGAGGACCGGAGUGGACGCAUCACUGGUGUUCGGGUUGUCAUGCCAAUGGCACUGCCCGGUAGCUAAAUGCGGAAGAGAUAAGUGCUGAAAGCAUCUAAGCACGAAACUUGCCCCGAGAUGAGUUCUCCCUGACUCCUUGAGAGUCCUGAAGGAACGUUGAAGACGACGACGUUGAUAGGCCGGGUGUGUAAGCGCAGCGAUGCGUUGAGCUAACCGGUACUAAUGAACCGUGAGGCUUAACCUUACAACGCCGAAGGUGUUU